rnacentral:rRNA from 1 species
AACGUAGGAGACAAACGUUAUCCGGAGUUACUGGGCGUAAAGGGCGUGUAGGCGGUUUGUUAAGUCUGGCGUGAAAGCUCUCGGCUAAACCGGGAGAGGUCGUUGGAUACUGGCAAACUAGAGUAUGGUAGAGGCGUGUGGAAUUCCGGGUGUAGUGGUGAAAUGCGUAGAGAUCCGGAGGAACACCAGUGGCGAAGGCGACACGCUGGGCCAUACCUGACGCUAAAGCGCGACAGCAUGGGGAGCAAACGGG